rnacentral:rRNA from 1 species
CACGUAGGGGGCAAGCGUUGUCCGGAUUUAUUGGGCGUAAAGAGCUCGUAGGCUGUUCGAUAAGUCAGGUGUGAAACCUCCAGGCUCAACCUGGAGACGCCACCCGAUACUGUCAUGACUAGAGUCCGGUAGGGGAGCGUGGAAUUCCUGGUGUAGCGGUGAAAUGCGCAGAUAUCAGGAGGAACACCAGCGGCGAAGGCGGCGCUCUGGGCCGGUACUGACGCUGAGGAGCGAAAGCGUGGGUAGCAAACAGG